rnacentral:rRNA from 1 species
AUUGAACGCUGGCGGCAUGCUCUACACAUGCAAGUCGAACGGUAACAGGCCGCAAGGUGCUGACGAGUGGCGAACGGGUGAGUAAUGCAUCGGAACGUGCCCAGUCGUGGGGGAUAACUACUCGAAAGAGUAGCUAAUACCGCAUACGAUCUAUGGAUGAAAGCGGGGGACCGUAAGGCCUCGCGCGAUUGGAGCGGCCGAUGUCAGAUUAGGUAGUUGGUGGGGUAAAGGCUCACCAAGCCAACGAUCUGCAGCUGGUCUGAGAGGACGACCAACCACACUGGGACUGAGACACGGCCCAGACUCCUACGGGAGGCAGCAGUGGGGAAUUUUGGACAAUGGGCGCAAGCCUGAUCCAGCAAUGCCGCGUGCAGGAAGAAGGCCUUCGGGUUGUAAACUGCUUUUGUACGGAACGAAACGGCUCUGGUUAAUACCCGGGGCUAAUGACGGUACCGUAAGAAUAAGCACCGGCUAACUACGUG